AACGAACGCUGGCGGCAGGCUUAACACAUGCAAGUCGAGCGCCCCGCAAGGGGAGCGGCAGACGGGUGAGUAACGCGUGGGAAUCUACCCAUCUCUACGGAAUAACGCAUGGAAACGUGUGCUAAUACCGUAUACGUCCUUCGGGAGAAAGAUUUAUCGGAGAUGGAUGAGCCCGCGUUGGAUUAGCUAGUUGGUGGGGUAAAGGCCUACCAAGGCGGCGAUCCAUAGCUGGUCUGAGAGGAUGAUCAGCCACACUGGGACUGAGACACGGCCCAGACUCCUACGGGAGGCAGCAGUGGGGAAUAUUGGACAAUGGGCGCAAGCCUGAUCCAGCCAUGCCGCGUGAGUGAUGAAGGCCUUAGGGUUGUAAAGCUCUUUCACCGAUGAAGAUAAUGACGGUAGUCGGAGAAGAAGCCCCGGCUAACUUCGUGCCAGCCGCCGCCGUAAAAC
rnacentral:rRNA from 1 species